UACGAAGGGUGCAAACGUUGCUCGGAAUCAUUGGGCGUAAAGCGCACGUAGGCGGCGAUCUAAGUCGGAUGUGAAAUCCCCCGGCUCAACUGGGGAGGGUCACGCGAUACUGGUCGACUCGAAGGCAGGAGAGGGUAGUGGAAUUCCCGGUGUAGUGGUGAAAUGCGUAGAUAUCAGGAGGAACACCAAUAGCGAAGGCAGCUCGCUGGGACGGUACUGACGCUAAGGCGCGAAAGCGUGGGGAGCGAACAGG
rnacentral:rRNA from 1 species